UACUUUAUUGAAACUUCGGUCGAUUUAAUUUAAUUCUAGUGGCGGACGGGUGAGUAACGCGUGGGUAACCUGCCUUGUACAGGGGGAUAACAGUCAGAAAUGACUGCUAAUACCGCAUAAGCGCACAGGACCGCAUGGUCCGGUGUGAAAAACUCCGGUGGUAUAAGAUGGACCCGCGUUGGAUUAGCUGGUUGGUGGGGUAACGGCCUACCAAGGCGACGAUCCAUAGCCGGCCUGAGAGGGUGAACGGCCACAUUGGGACUGAGACACGGCCCAGACUCCUACGGGAGGCAGCAGUGGGGAAUAUUGCACAAUGGGGGAAACCCUGAUGCAGCGACGCCGCGUGAAGGAAGAAGUAUCUCGGUAUGUAAACUUCUAUCAGCAGGGAAGAAAAUGACGGUACCUGACUAAGAAGCCCCGGCUAACUACGUGCCAGCAGCCGCGGUAAUACGUAGGGGGCAAGCGUUAUCCGGAUUUACUGGGUGUAAAGGGAGCGUAGACGGAUGGACAAGUCUGAUGUGAAAGGCUGGGGCUCAACCCCGGGACUGCAUUGGAAACUGCCCGUCUUGAGUGCCGGAGAGGUAAGCGGAAUUCCUAGUGUAGCGGUGANAUGCCUAGAUAUUAGGAGGAACACCAGUGGCGAAGGCGGCUUACU
rnacentral:rRNA from 1 species